AAUGAGUCUCCUAUUGAGUUCUUCGAAGCUCUUUCCACAUUCCUUGCUCCAUUCGAAUUUUGUAUCUCUACGAGUCAGCUGCGUUAAUGGAGUAGCGAUUCGAGAAAAUCUUUCCACAAAAUCUUCGAUAAUAACCAGCUAAGCAUAGAAAGCUAUAUAUUUCGAUUACUGACUUAGGUUGCUCUCAACUGUGACUCAUAUCCCAA
rnacentral:lncRNA from 1 species